rnacentral:rRNA from 1 species
GAUGAGCGCUGGCGGCGUGCCUAAUACAUGCAAGUCGAGCGAACGGACGAGAAGCUUGCUUUUCUGAUGUUAGCGGCGGACGGGUGAGUAACACGUGGAUAACCUACCUAUAAGACUGGGAUAACUUCGGGAAACCGGAGCUAAUACCGGAUAAUAUUUUGAACCGCAUGGUUCAAAAGUGAAAGACGGUCUUGCUGUCACUUAUAGAUGGAUCCGCGCUGCAUUAGCUAGUUGGUAAGGUAACGGCUUACCAAGGCAACGAUGCAUAGCCGACCUGAGAGGGUGAUCGGCCACACUGGAACUGAGACACGGUCCCGACUCCUACGGGAGGCAGCAGUAGGGAAUCUUCCGCAAUGGGCGAAAGCCUGACGGAGCAACGCCGCGUGAGUGAUGAAGGUCUUCGGAUCGUAAAACUCUGUUAUUAGGGAAGAACAUAUGUGUAAGUAACUGUGCACAUCUUGACGGUACCUAAUCAGAAAGCCACGGCUAACUACGUG